UACGUAGGCCUCGAGCGUUAUCCGGAUUUAUUGGGCGUAAAGAGCAUGUAGGAGGCUUCGCGCGUCUUUGGUUAAAGACCACCGCCUAACGGUGGGAAUGCCGAGGAUACGGCGGAGCUGGAGGAGGUUAGAGGUGCAUGGAACACAUGGUGUAGGGGUGAAAUCCGUUGAUAUCAUGUGGAACACCAAAGGCGAAGGCAGUGCACUGGGACCUUCCUGACUCUGAGAUGCGAAAGCGUGGGGAGCAAAAAGG
rnacentral:rRNA from 1 species